rnacentral:rRNA from 1 species
CAGAGUGACAGGUGGUGCAUGGUUGUCGUCAGCUCGUGUCGUGAGAUGUUGGGUUAAGUCCCGCAACGAGCGCAACCCUUGAUCUUAGUUGCCAGCAUUCAGUUGGGCACUCUAAGGUGACUGCCGGUGACAAACCGGAGGAAGGUGGGGAUGACGUCAAAUCAUCAUGCCCCUUAUGACCUGGGCUACACACGUGCUACAAUGGACAGAACAAAGGGCAGCAAAACCGCGAGGUUAAGCCAAUCCCACAAAUCUGUUCUCAGUUCGGAUCGCAGUCUGCAAACUCGACUGCGUGAAGCUGGAAUCGCUAGUAAUCGCGGAUCAGCAUGCCGCGGUGAAUACGUUCCCGGGCCUUGUACACACCGCCCGUCACACCACGAGAGUUUGUAACACCCG